AUGUGCUUUCUUGGUAUCCUAAAUAUAAGAAGAUUAAUACUUCAAGUUGCUGAGUUGAGAAAGAGAUGGUUGAAUCAAAAGAAUUCCUUUUUUGAAGUUCAAUUUUUAUCAGAGGACUAUAUAAAUACUAUGCCUUGUUCCAUUAAAACACUCAAGGGGUUAUACGAUAUAUCGGGUGUAGAAAUAGGCCAACACUUCUAUUGGCAAAUAGGAGGUUUCCAAAUUCAUGCGCAAAUACUCAUCACUUCUUGGGUCGUAAGUACUAACUUGCUAGGUUCAGUUGUUAUAGCUGUUCGGAAUCCACAAACCAUCUUGUUCGACAGUCAUAAUUUUUCUGAAUAUGUCCUUCAGUUUAUUCGAGACUUGAGCAAAACUUAG
rnacentral:rRNA from 1 species